rnacentral:rRNA from 1 species
CUUUUUGGAGAGUUUGAUCCUGGCUCAGGACGAACGCUGGCGGCGUGCCUAAUACAUGCAAGUCGAGCGGACCUCUUCGGAGGUCAGCGGCGGACGGGUGAGUAACACGUGGGCAACCUGCCUGUAAGACUGGGAUAAC